UACGGGGGGGGGCAAGCGUUGUUCGGAAUUACUGGGCGUAAAGGGCUCGUAGGCGGCCAACUAAGUCAGACGUGAAAUCCCUCGGCUUAACCGGGGAACUGCGUCUGAUACUGGAUGGCUUGAAUCCGGGAGAGGGAUGCGGAAUUCCAGGUGUAGCGGUGAGAUGCGUAGAUAUCUGGAGGAACACCGGUGGCGAAGGCGGCAUCCUGGACCGGCAUUGACGCUGAGGAGCGAAAGCCAGGGGAGCAAACGGG
rnacentral:rRNA from 1 species